rfam:Dipodomys ordii contig_26998, whole genome shotgun sequence.
UGGCUCAGUGGUAGAGCACUUGCCUUGCAUGCAUGAGGCCCUGGGUUUGAUUCCUUA